CCAGGUUUCAUACAAGCCUCGAGCAUCGGUUUAACAGCAGUUGCAUAAUAAGACUCAAAAGGCCAAGCACUCCUCCUGCCUUGUACAUCUCCAUUUCCACACGAACGAGAGUGAUGGAUCUGGACGAAAACCGAGCACUACCCGAGCGCCACUACCAAGCUGGUUAUUAUGCAGCAAAGAAGAGGAAAACCCAACACCUGGCGCACAAAUAUGCAGACACCCAGCGAAUAGGUGGAUCUACGGAGAGCUGUCUUCCCUUUCCCUUCCCCAAUAGGCAACCCUUGAUGGGUGUGCCAGGAAUGGGAUAUCGGGGGGAGGAGAAGAAAAGGGGUGGGAAGUGGUUGCCGCUUGCUGCAGCCAGGCUGAGCGAUGGCGAGGUGGUUAAUCAUGGUGGCUGAGGAAACACGGGGUCACUUCUCCCCCUUCCGCCUCCCGUGUGACGAGGACGGCGGGCACCGGCCACGGGGGGGGACCCGGACCCCGCACGGACCCGCCGGCGGCGGCGACUCAGAUUGAAUGGGCUCAGGAAAACGUGAGCAUUAGUCUGCCAGCAGCCAGGACCCAGUAGCAUGAUAAUCGAAGCAAAACAUUUACAGAACAAUCUGAAAUAUUGAAAUAUUCCUCCCCCAGAAGAGCUGAAACCAAGCUUCUGGUUAAAUUACUGUCUGCGUUGGACUUCUUGAUCAUAUAGAAAGAACAACUAAAAGUCUACAAGAAAGCUGUAUGAAAACCCUGCAAAUCAAUAGAUCCUACUUUUGAACAGGACAAGAAGGAAACGAUUUGGAAGAAAACAAAGACAAACAUCUGUACCUCAAAGAAGUUUUUUUCAGGGGUCUGCAUGAGAAGCCUGCUCCCAGGAAGUUGGAUGUCUGAGACCACUUGGCCUUUUUGCAAGAAAAGGGAAAAACACCCAGACCCUUCUGACCAGCAGCAGAAGACUGAAGAGUGAAAGCAUUUUAACAUCCUGGGACACUUACAUGGACACAAAUGGAUUAGUUCUCCUGCCUGGGAGCCCUCCUCUGAGACUCCUGGUGGGGAGAAUCCAUCCCAGGGAUGCUCCUUUGUUUCCCACAGAGACGUGUAGCCCAUCAAAUUAACACUGCCAACCUGCUGCAGAAAAUGGGGCCAGGGUUCAGAGCAAACUACUCCUCCUGAAGCCCUGAAAAAAGAGCAAACCAUCUAAAAAGCAAAAGCAUCAUUAAAUUUCCUUUCCAUGCGGUGAAUGAAGAAGCUUCUACCUGGGGAAGAAAGGGAAAGUAUUCUUUUUGUUAGCUUCAUCCAGAGAGGAAAAAAGUCUUUGAGGAAUUUUCUGGCACGUGGCUCCUGUUAGGUUUCAGCCAGCUGCGCUGUUUUCAGAAGCACUGGAAUGUAAUUUCAGCAAUAGUCAAUCAACAGAGGCAGUGAGGAUGUUCUGUUACACAGAAGUCCUGGGUGAAAAUCCAUGCAUUGUGUCUAAGAACACAAAUUUAACAAAAGUGAAUCUAGAGAGCUGAAUUCUGGCAACCUGGCUCUGCCCUGAACAAUGGAAAAUUGGAGACAUCCCCAUUGCUGGGUGGGGAAUGGCACUUUUCAACUCAAAUUUCAGUCAAUUGACUCAAGCUCAUCUGUAAACCUCUGGCACUGGUGAUUAAAAAAUUUAAUUUUCCACCAUUUUUUGAUUUUAUUGCUCGGAAUGCCUAAGUCCUAAAUUAGACAUAGAGCUUUUGGUGUAAGCCAGCAUAAUCCUUUUACCAUGGAAUCAUUCUGUUAUAUAGCAUUUUGACCGCUCUGUGAGUGUGUGAAAUUGUUGUCUAAAAUGCAUUGCUUAACGCUGGUAUUUGCCUGUUUUGGACAAAUCUGUUAAAAUUUUUGAAAGAAAAUUAUGCAAAAUAAAGCAACUUACUCUUUAGUCUCUUGGGUGGGAAAUGCUUGAGUUCUGCUUAGUUUCAAAGUGCUUUUGAAUGUUCAGUGUCAUGAUACAAUGGUGUAAGGUUUUUAAGGGCUAGUUAAAUUAUUUUCAUGGGACAAAGAAAUCCCUUACACAGUGCUAUAGCUGCAAAAGAACACAAAAAAGUGUGCUCAGUUGUACUGGGAUGAUGGAAUCAUGCUGCUCUCAAUGAGCUGAGCUCUCAAGUCUGCUGAGGAGAUUCCCACUGCCUUUCAGUCUUUGGAUCAGUCCAUAUAUGAAAAAAUUACUUUAUUCCCACCUCUGGUAGGAAAUGCAUUGGGAAGUCUGUGUGAGGGAACUUGGAGCCAUUCUGCUGGUACUCAUGGCUAUGCAGUUCUGAGAGGAGAAGUUCCUGUUCUGUGUUGUCUCCUAAUAGCAAAAAUCCUUAAAAGAUCUCGCCCUCCGUGUGAUUUGCUUAUACAGUAAUUUUCUUCUCCUGAAUGAAGCCAGGAAAGAGUUUCCCAUUACAUUUCAGGGAAGUAAAGUGAUGUGCAGAGCAGAUAUGUCAAAUAAUGGAGUUCUAGUGUGUAGAAACCAAGUCAACAUUAAUAAAAUUUGCUGUCUUUCUAAAAUGAUCUUAUACAUUAGAGUGUCAAAUGCUCUAGGACUUAUAAUGCAAGAAGACAGGAUGAAUCCAAGGCAAUGAAAUGAAACUAAUUAAAAUGUCAGAUAACACAAGUUUGGGUUGUUUGGAGCAGACCUUUAUGUGAGAUAGUGAGAUCUUCAUUAGAGGGCCACAAACUUAACUUUUUAAUAAGAAAUAAUAAUUUUUUACAUCAAGUCUGGCCUCUGCUGCCUACAAAUUUGGAUUGAUAUAUCAAAGUACAUAUUGCCUUUAAUAUUCCUGUCAAACCUGAGCUGUGAUGCAUUCCCUACUUGGAGGGAUGAUUCUGUAAAACUUAGCUAAUAAAAAUGUGACACAGCCAG